rnacentral:tRNA from 1 species
GCGGGUAGUUGAUGGAUAUGAACCUUGCCAAGGUUGGGGUCGAGGGUUCGAAUCCCUUCGCCCGCUCCA